rnacentral:rRNA from 1 species
CCUACGGGUGGCUGCAGUGGGGAAUCUUCCGCAAUGGACGAAAGUCUGACGGAGCAACGCCGCGUGAGUGAAGAAGGUUUUCGGAUCGUAAAGCUCUUUCGUUAGGGACGAACGUGCUCUUUGUGAAUAAUGAGGAGUAAUGACGGUACCUAAAUAAGAAGCCACGGCUAACUACGUGCCAGCAGCCGCGGUAAUACGUAGGUGGCAAGCGUUGUCCGGAAUUAUUGGGCGUAAAGCGCGCGCAGGCGGGAUAUCAAGUCUGUCUUAAAAGUGCGAGGCUCAACCUCGUGAGGGGACAGAAACUGGUAUUCUUGAGUGUCGGAGAGGAAAGUGGAAUUCCAAGUGUAGCGGUGAAAUGCGUAGAGAUUUGGAAGAACACCAGUGGCGAAGGCGACUUUCUGGACGAUGUCUGACGCUGAGGCGCGAAAGCUAGGGGAGCGAACGGGCUUAGAUACCCUGGUAGUC